rnacentral:rRNA from 1 species
ACAUGCCUACAACAUAGUAUUAAUGCAUCGGUUCGCAUUAGAACUAUGUAGCUAAGCGUGCUUGGGUUAGAGUAGUAUUGGGAUGGGUGACCACUUGGGAAGUCUUAGUAUUUUACAUGCC